CCCUGGUUAGCUCAGUUGGUAGAGCGCUCCACUUGCAAUGGAGAGAUCCCGGGUUCGAUACCCGGACCAGGCG
rnacentral:tRNA from 1 species